rnacentral:rRNA from 1 species
UGCCAGCCGCCGCGGUAAUACGGAGGGACCAAGCGUUGUUCGGAAUCAUUGGGCGUAAAGCGGGCGCAGGCGGUCUGUCAAGUCGGGUGUGAAAGCCCAGGGCUCAACCCUGGAACUGCACUCGAAACUGACAGACUUGAGUCUCGGAGAGGGUGGCGGAAUUCCCGGUGUAGAGGUGAAAUUCGUAGAUAUCGGGAGGAACACCAGUGGCGAAGGCGGCCACCUGGACGAUGACUGACGCUCAGGUCCGAAAGUGUGGGGAGCAAACAGGAUUAGAUA